CACUCAACCAAGAAUACAGAUACAGAGCUUCUGCCCUGAGCCACAUUCAAAUACUGUGCUCUGCUUCCACUCACUUUAACGUUGCUUUACAGACCUGAUCAUUGCUGUACACGUUGGGGAUGUGAAGGUAAGUUUAUAUUUUCCAUAUUCUUUCUUAUUUUAAUCGUGGCCUUGGUGUGAUGCUCAGUUUAAAGACUCUGUAUGUAUCACAAGCCUUUUAUUAAAGACACAUAUGUUCUGUAUCCCCAGUCCUGAGAGUCUAAGGAGCCUACAGUCAGUACAGGGAGAAUUCUGUUCAAAUCUCUUUAAAUGUAUUUGUUUUUUCUAUAGUUAGAAAACACACCGUCUAUCGUUUGCUUGCUUGAUAUAUUUUUUAAUUUACUUAAUGCAGCAUGACGUUCGUUUUGAUUUACCUUAAAUACUUUUAUUACAUUCUUGUAUCUUUAAUUCUUAAAUAAUGUUAAAUAAUAUGCCUGAAAAGGGGAUCUGCAAAUUGAGAGGAGAAAGGUGAUUUAAAAAAAAAAAUAUAUAUUAUGUAUUAUAUUACUUUAGAUCUGCUUAGUUCUAUUUAGGAUCAACAAUUAGCUUUCAAACGAUAAGGAAACUAAUAAUACAAUGAUAUAUGUGUGUGUUAGAACUGUGUGUGUGCAAAUAUAUAAAUUUGUGUGUGUAUAUAUAUAUAUAUAUGUGUGUGUGUGUGUGUGUGUGAGUGUUGUGUAUGAGUGUUGUGUAUAUAUAUGUGUGUGUGUGUGUGUGUGUGUUAUGUGUAUAUGUGGGUGUGUGUAUAUAUAUAUAUAUACAUAUAUAUAUAUAUAUGCACACACACACACACAAAUACAUAUAUAUCUCUAAACACACAUACACACACACACACACACAUACACACACACACAUAUACACACACACACACAUACACACACACACAUAUAUACACACACACACAUAUCUAUACACACACACACACACACACACAUAUACACACACACAUCACCUGCUAUCUGUAGAUCCCAUCGGGCAUAAUAGGAUGAGCUGAGCUGUUUCUCUCUAUAGAUGACGCUGUUCCCUGGUUCUGUCUAUAGGAGACACUCGCUGUCUGUUGCUCGCUGUCACACAGACCUGGCUUGUUUAAUUGCUUCACCUUAACAUUAUACAUGCAUUAUUCCAACGUAUUGCUGUCUGUAUGCACUCUCUUUAACCCCUUCACUGCAUGGCAAGCUAGCAUAAUAAAACAAACUCUCUAGCUCUCUAACAUAAGCUACUCAACUAGGUAACAAAUUCUCUCUCUCACACACAGACACACACAAAACCCUCACAUUUAUUCAACUGACAGGCGAGAAUGAUCGUUCGAUGGUUCCUUCUCCCCACAGAGCGAUAAAUAUCGAUUUGUAACGAACAGGAUAGAAUGCUGCACGUGGUGUAAGAUUGUGACCUGGCUGCUAUUAACCCAUUGUGUGCCAUAGAGUUCAGGGUAAUAUCCUUCUGGCACCACAUGGGUUAAAGCAAGCUGCAGUGACCUGUAUUACCAUUAACCCUUAUUUACCUGGGGAGAAGACUCAGAGCCACCGGGGCCAGCAGAUCAGGUGUGUCCAGGGUCUCCUAUUAGGGGGCCACACACAAGGUAUUGUCUGCCCCAUUCGGGUUCUUUAAAAGCGUGUUUAGCAUAAUGUGAAUUAUACAGCGAUCUUCCAGCAGCUGUAAUACUGGAGCCUCUCUAUUCUUUUCACUAUUAUAAUUUUGGUUAAUUUUCAAUUUUAGGUCCUACAUCUCUGCAAUUUGUGUAUGAAUAACAGAAUAAUUUUCCUCUUUUGUUUCGCCUUUCCUGUUCCUGAAUCUAAAUAAAGAUGGCUUUUUAGUAUUAAGAGUGGAAGAAAAUUACAGGUAAUUAUCUUUGACGGUAAAAAUGCUGUAAUCAGCAGGGCUACAUGAAAAAUUACUCUAAUUAUGGCUGCAUUUAAGAGAAUGGAAAAAAAACCUUCUUGUGGAUAAAAACCUUAAAUUGUCCCCAAUGUCUGCUUCAAACUGGAUGGGACUGCAGCUGCAGCUUUGUUCAGCAAUGAUCCUGGGGAGAUGUGAACCCAAAGUUUCACAGUGGGAAGGGGGGAAAGAAAAGAGAGCACUUUUCUAUAAUAUAACAAUACCAGAACUAGAAAAUGACAAGACUG